AUAGGCGAGUCCUUAUAAGAGGAGGCGUCAGGGUUGUCAUGCGAGAACACAGUGCCUGCCAGCAGGAGGGCUCUCACCAGAAACCCACCCUGCCAGGCCCACACCUUGCAUUCCCAAGCCUUCAGAAAUAUUCCACAUGGACCUGACUUGCUCACAUGUAAAAGAUGCAGUUGGAGAAGAGGAACGCAUACAGGUCCUCAAGACAAGAUCAGCGGCGAGCUACCUACUGGAUGUGACAAGACGGACGUUUCAGCCGCAGUUUCUGCAGAAGCUGCUGGAAGACUCUGUCUUUCAAUGCAGCUUGACAUGAACCACUCUGAGUGUUUGUUAGGACUCCCCAGUUUGCAAAUAUAUCUAUGGAAUACAUGCUGUUCUGUGCCUGGCCCACAAAACCAAGCGAGUCGGAGUUGGUUUCUGCUUUGCUGUGGUUCUCUGACAAUUGAAGGCAAUAAUUAAUGCUGGUAUGCUGGCAAAGACUGAAGGCAUGAGGAGAAGGGGACAACGGAGGAUGGCAUCACUGACUCAAUGGACAAUGAGACUGAGCAAGCUCCGGGAGAUGGUUUGGUGAUGGUGACAGGAUCUGAAGGAAACUUCUGGCAGCUUUGAAGAGACGAGAAACACAGGUAGGAAACCACUGACUUCUCUCUCCCACCGUUACAAAGGCUGCGGGUGAGUUCCCUUGGUUUUGAGCUCUGCUCUUUGCAUUGAGCUCCUGAUGACAUUUAAUUGGCUUUCCAGUC